CCCGCUGAGGGUGGCUUUUACUCAGUCUAGCAAGCUGGGAGAAUAAGGAGAGGGCAAGUCUGGUGUCAGCCGCCGCGGUAAUACCAGCUCUCCGAGUGGUGUGGAUGUUUAUUGGGCCUAAAGCAUCCGUAGCUUGCUGUUCAAGUCCCCUGUUAAACUCAGCGAAUUAAUCGUUGGAUUGCGGGGGAUACUGUUCAGCUAGGGGGCGGGAGAGGCAGACGGUAUUCUCGGGGUAGGGGUGAAAUCCUAUAAUCCCGGGAAGACCACCAGUGGCGAAGGCUGUCUG
rnacentral:rRNA from 1 species